UACGAAGGGGGCUAGCGUUGUUCGGAAUUACUGGGCGUAAAGCGCGUGUAGGCGGGUCUUUUAAGUCAGGGGUGAAAUGCCAAGGCUCAACCUUGGAACUGCCUUUGAUACUGGAGACCUUGAGUCCGGGAGAGGUGAGUGGAAUUGCGAGUGUAGAGGUGAAAUUCGUAGAUAUUCGCAAGAACACCAGUGGCGAAGGCGGCUCACUGGCCCGGAACUGACGCUGAGACGCGAAAAGCGUGGGGGAGCAAACAGGG
rnacentral:rRNA from 1 species